rnacentral:rRNA from 1 species
AGUGAACGCUGGCGGCGUGCCUAAUACAUGCAAGUCGAACGGAGUGGCGCACGGGUGAGUAAUAUGUAGCUAAUCCGCCCCUUGCUGGAGGACAAAAGAUAGAAAUGCCUGCUAAUACUCCAUAGCAAGGGUUGAGACUCUAUCGUAUCAGCUGGUCGGUGGGGUAACGGGGUACCGAGGCUAUGACGCGUAACUGGACUGAGAGGAUGAUCAGAGACAUUUGAGCUGGGAAACGGUGCGGACUCCUACGGAAGGGAGCAGAAGGGGAUGGUGCGCAGUGGGGGGAGCCCUGACGCAGCAAGGCCGGGUAGAGUAUGACACUUUUGGGGGCAUGAACUCCUGUUAUUAGGGAAGCGGUACCUAACGAAUAAGCACCGGCUAACUCCGUGCCAGCAGCCGCGGUAAUUC